rnacentral:rRNA from 1 species
UACAGAGGUCCCGAGCGUUGUUCGGAUUCACUGGGCGUAAAGGGUGCGUAGGCGGUCGGGUAAGUCUAACGUGAAAUCUCCGAGCCUAACUCGGAAACUGCGUCGGAUACUAUUCGGCUAGAGGAAUGGAGAGGAGACUGGAAUUUACGGUGUAGCAGUGAAAUGCGUAGAGAUCGUAAGGAAGACCAGUGGCGAAGGCGG